rnacentral:rRNA from 1 species
CCUACGGGAGACAGCAGUGAGGAAUAUUGGUCAAUGGGCGCGAGCCUGAACCAGCCAAGUAGCGUGAAGGAUGACUGCCCUACGGGUUGUAAACUUCUUUUAUAAAGGAAUAAAGUGAGGCACGUGUGCCUUUUUGUAUGUACUUUAUGAAUAAGGAUCGGCUAACUCCGUGCCAGCAGCCGCGGUAAUACGGAGGAUCCGAGCGUUAUACGGAUUUAUUGGGUUUAAAGGGAGCGUAGAUGGGUUGUUAAGUCAGUUGUGAAAGUUUGCGGCUCAACCGUAAAAUUGCAAUUGAUACUGGCAGCCUUGAGUACAGUUGAGGUAGGCGGAAUUCGUGGUGUAGCGGUGAAAUGCGUAGAUAUCACGAAGAACUCCGAUUGCGAAGGCAGCUUACUAAACUGCCACUGACAUUGAUGCUCGAAAGUGUGGGUAUCAAACAGGAUUAGAGACACGAGUAGUC